rnacentral:tRNA from 1 species
GGCGCGCCUGGCCGAGGGCCUGCGCCGCCUUUCCGACGGCCAGGGGGUGUCCGACAUCGCCCACGAACUGGGGUUCAGCAGCCCCAGCGCCUUC